AAAGUGGGCCAGGCGUUGGUAGUCCUGGUGAAAGGAAGUAGGUGGUCGCGGUAGGCAAAUCCGCUGCGGCAUUAACACUGAGACCCGAGACGAAGUAUCUACGGAUACGAAGUCACUGAUGCCAUGCUUCCAGGAAAAGCCUCUAAGCUUCAGAUUACCGUGAACCGUACCCCAAACCGACACAGGUGGUCGGGUAGAGAAUACCAAGGCGCUUGAGAGAACUCGGGUGAAGGAACUAGGCAAAAUAGUACCGUAACUUCGGGAGAAGGUACGCUGAUGGUGGUGAAGUGCCUUGCGCAUGGAGCUAUCGUCAGCCGCAGUGACCAGGUGGCUGGGACUGUUUAACAAAACACAGCACUCUGCAAACACGAAAGUGGACGUAUAGGGUGUGACACCUGCCCGGUGCCGGAAGGUUAAUUGAUGGGGUUAGCGCAAGCGAAGCUCUUGAUCGAAGCCCCGGUAAACGGCGGCCGUAACAAUAACUUCCUAAGGUAGCGAAAUUCCUUGUCGGGUAAGUUCCGACCUGCACGAAUGGUGUAACCAUGGCCACGCUGUCUCCACCCGAGACUCAGUGAAAUCGAAAUCGCUGUGAAGAUGCAGUGUACACGCGGCUAGACGGAAAGACCCCGUGAACCUUUACUACAGCUUGACACUGAACAUUGAACCUACUUGUGUAGGAUAGGUGGGAGGCUUGGAAGUGGCGACGCUAGUUGUCAUGGAGCCGACCUUGAAAUACCACCCUGGUAUGUUUGAUGUUCUAACCUAAGCCCGUUAUCCGGGCCAGGGACAGUGUCUGGUGGGUAGUUUGACUGGGGCGGUCUCCUCCCAAAGAGUAACGGAGGAGCACGAAGGUUAGCUAAUCACGGUCGGACAUCGUGAGGUUAGUGCAAUGGCAUAAGCUAGCUUAACUGCGAGACGGACAGGUCGAGCAGGUACGAAAGUAGGUCAUAGUGAUCCGGUGGUUCUGCAUGGAAGGGCCAUCGCUCAACGGAUAAAAGGUACUCCGGGGAUAACAGGCUGAUACCGCCCAAGAGUUCAUAUCGACGGCGGUGUUUGGCACCUCGAUGUCGGCUCAUCACAUCCUGGGGCUGAAGUUGGUCCCAAGGGUAUGGCUGUUCGCCAUUUGAAGUGGUACGCGAGCUGGGUUCAGAACGUCGUGAGACAGUUCGGUCCCUAUCUGCCGUGGGCGUUGGAUGAUUGAAGGGAGUUGCUCCUAGUACGAGAGGACCGGAGUGAACGAACCUCUGGUGUUCGGGUUGUCAUGCCAAUGGCACUGCCCGGUAGCUAAGUUCGGAAUCGAUAACCGCUGAAAGCAUCUAAGCGGGAAGCGAGCCCUGAGAUGAGUCAUCCCUGACCCCUUGAGGGUCCUAAAGGGCCGUUGAAGACUACGACGUUGAUAGGUGGGGUGUGUAAGCGCGGUGACGUGUUGAGCUAACCCAUACUAAUUACCCGUGAGGCUUAACC
rnacentral:rRNA from 1 species